rnacentral:rRNA from 1 species
GUGUCAGCCGCCGCGGUAACCCCAGCGCCCCAAGCGGGAAUCACGAUUAUUGGGUCUAAAGCGUUCGUAGCAGGUUCUGUAAAUCUUUUGUGAAAUCGGCAGGCUUAACUUGUCGGCGUGCAGGGGACACUGCAGAACUCGAGACUGGGAGAGGUUAGAAGUAUUCCUUGGGUACCGGUAAAAUGGGUUAAUCCAAGGAGGACUACCAAUGGCGAAGGCAUCUGACCAGAACAGUUCUGACUGUGAGGAACGAAAGCUAGGGGAGCAAAACGGAUUAGAAACCCGCGUAGUCC